GCAUUUUACAAUUACAUAUUCUUAUUUCAUAUUUCUUUUCACAUUUAUUUGAGAAAUCUGAUUUGCCUCUCUUACUUCUUGAAACAAAGCUCUAAAUAGCAUUG